rnacentral:rRNA from 1 species
UACGGGGGGGGCAAGCGUUGUUCGGAAUUACUGGGCGUAAAGGGCUCGUAGGCGGCCAACUAAGUCAGACGUGAAAUCCCUCGGCUUAACCGGGGAACUGCAUCUGAUACUGGAUGGCUUGAGUUCGGGAGAGGGAUGCGGAAUUCCAGGUGUAGCGGUGAAAUGCGUAGAUAUCUGGAGGAACACCGGUGGCGAAGGCGACAUCCUGGACCGGUAUUGACGCUGAGGCGCGAAAGCCAGGGGAGCAAACGGG